GACGAACGCUGGCGGCGUGCUUAACACAUGCAAGUCGAACGCUGAAGCUCAGCUUUUGUUGGGUGGAUGAGUGGCGAACGGGUGAGUAACACGUGAGUAACCUGCCCCCUUCUUUGGGAUAACGCCCGGAAACGGGUGCUAAUACUGGAUAUUCACUGGUCUUCGCAUGGGGGUUGGUGGAAAGGGUUUUUCUGGUGGGGGAUGGGCUCGCGGCCUAUCAGCUUGUUGGUGGUGUGAUGGCCUACCAAGGCUUUGACGGGUGGCCGGCCUGAGAGGGUGACCGGUCACAUUGGGACUGAGAUACGGCCGAGACUCAUACGGGAGGCAGCAGUGGGGAAUAUUGCACAAUGGGCGCAAGCCUGAUGCAGCGACGCCGCGUGAGGGAUGGAGGCCUUCGGGUUGUGAACCUCUUUCGCUCAUGGUCAAGCCGCAACAAUGGUUGUGGUGAGGGUAGUGGGUAAAGAAGCGCCGGCUAACUACGUG
rnacentral:rRNA from 1 species